GACGAACGCUGGCGGCGUGCUUAACACAUGCAAGUCGAACGGUGAAGCUCCAGCUUGCUGGAGUGGAUCUGUGGCGAACGGGUGAGUAACACGUGAGCAACCUGCCCCUGACUCUGGAAUAAGCGCUGGAAACGGCGUCUAAUACUGGAUACGAGAAGGGUCCGCAUGGGCACUUUCUGGAAAGUUUUUCGGUUGGGGAUGGGCUCGCGGCCUAUCAGCUUGUUGGUGAGGUAAUGGCUCACCAAGGCGACGACGGGUAGCCGGCCUGAGAGGGCGACCGGCCACACUGGGACUGAGACACGGCCCAGACUCCUACGGGAGGCAGCAGUGGGGAAUAUUGCACAAUGGGCGAAAGCCUGAUGCAGCGACGCCGCGUGAGGGAUGACGGCCUUCGGGUUGUAAACCUCUUUCAGCAGGGAAGAAGCGAAAGUGACGGUACCUGCAGAAGAAGCACCGGCUAACUACGUG
rnacentral:rRNA from 1 species